rnacentral:rRNA from 1 species
GGCGAACGCUGGCGGCAGGCUUAACACAUGCAAGUCGAACGCCCCGCAAGGGGAGUGGCAGACGGGUGAGUAACACGUGGGAACGUACCCUUUGGUUCGGAAUAACUUGGGGAAACUCAAGCUAAUACCGGAUAAGCCCUUAUGGGGAAAGGUUUACUGCCGAAGGAUCGGCCCGCGUCUGAUUAGCUAGUUGGUGAGGUAAUGGCUCGCCAAGGCGACGAUCAGUAGCUGGUCUGAGAGGAUGAUCAGCCACACUGGGACUGAGACACGGCCCAGACUCCUACGGGAGGCAGCAGUGGGGAAUAUUGGACAAUGGGGGCAACCCUGAUCCAGCCAUGCCGCGUGAGUGAUGAAGGCCUUAGGGUUGUAAAGCUCUUUUACCCGGGACGAUAAUGACUGUACCGGGAGAAUAAGCCCCGGCUAACUUCGUGCCAGCAGCCGCAGUAA